rfam:Spirochaetes bacterium RBG_13_51_14 RBG_13_scaffold_782, whole genome shotgun sequence.
GGGGACGAUUUUGGUUUCGACUGUAAUAGCGGUUUUACAGCUGCAUGCCGAGUGCGCUGGCAACUCGUUAAACAUGGCAGGCCUAACCUAAGUGCAAACGAUAAUUUUGCAUUGGCAGCUUAAUUAACUGCCACGUCUUCAGAUUGCCUGCUCCUCUGGGGCGGCUGAAGGCGUCAUAAACAGAGGAUAGUCUAAUUUCCCCGCUCCGGGAAUGAGGACGAAACAAUAGGGAGCUCGAAUGUUCAUAACGGUGCCUGACCCCGGUGGGACAUUUUAAAUGAAAUGAUCAGGAUACGCAUGGAGAGGCUGUACGGCUGGAUUGCAGGACGCGGGUUCGACUCCCGCCGUCUCCACAG